UAUCUAGGAAUAAGCCCAGUGGAGAGAGUGGAAUAGAUCAGCAUGUGUUCUGGGAUCAACACCUUGGCUCAAGUAUUUGUUCCAUCAUUUACUGGGUACAUGUCUUUGAGCAGUCGUCUCAAUUCUUUAUUCCUCAGUUUUCCCAUCUACAAAAUAGGGAAAAUAAUAAAACCACAUACUGAUUAUUAGGAGGAUCUAAUGAGCUGUAUAUGGAGUGCAUAGAAUAGAGCUUGGAACUUAAGCUCUCUGAAACAUGUACUACUCGAAGGUGACAGAAUGAGAGUAAGACUAGAUUUGAGAGGUUGAAGGUAAUAGAAAGAAGGACUCCCUUGGGGGAAGCAUAGCCCCUGCUCAUUAAAUGUGAGUCAAAUGAAUGGUGGCCAGAGAUGAGUCAGAACGUAGAAUCAUUGGCAAACCCAACCAGAUUGGUGAUUUGCACUAGCAAAGCUCAGAGCCCCUAAAGUGAAAGUAGGUGAAAAGACUAAUUGGUUUCCUACUGGGUCCCUUGGCAGGUGACUGAUAGAGGAGAGAGGUUCCAGAGUAGUUUUUUUCUUUUUUUCCCCCCUCUGUUGUAUUAAAAGUUAUAUAAUUAAACCAUUACCUUGUAGGUGCACCAAAAUUCAGUUUUGUUACUUGUGGCCCAUAUAGGCAGUGUUACAUUUUUUGUUUUGUUUUUUAUUUAUUUAUCUAUUUGU